CCUACGGGUGGCAGCAGUGGGGAAUAUUGCACAAUGGGGGAAACCCUGAUGCAGCGACGCCGCGUGAGCGAUGAAGUAUUUCGGUAUGUAAAGCUCUAUCAGCAGGGAAGAAAAUGACGGUACCUGACUAAGAAGCCCCGGCUAACUACGUGCCAGCAGCCGCGGUAAUACGUAGGGGGCAAGCGUUAUCCGGAUUUACUGGGUGUAAAGGGAGCGUAGACGGCGGUGCAAGCCAGAUGUGAAAGCCCGGGGCUCAACCCCGGGACUGCAUUUGGAACUGUGCUGCUAGAGUGUCGGAGAGGCAGGCGGAAUUCCUAGUGUAGCGGUGAAAUGCGUAGAUAUUAGGAGGAACACCAGUGGCGAAGGCGGCUUACUGGACUGUAACUGACGUUGAGGCUCGAAAGCGUGGGGAGCAAACAGGAUUAGAUACCCGUGUAGUC
rnacentral:rRNA from 1 species